AUUGAACGCUGGCGGCAUGCCUUACACAUGCAAGUCGAACGGCAGCACGGGAGCAAUCCUGGUGGCGAGUGGCGAACGGGUGAGUAAUAUAUCGGAACGUGCCCAGUCGUGGGGGAUAACGUAGCGAAAGCUACGCUAAUACCGCAUACGAUCUAUGGAUGAAAGCGGGGGAUCGCAAGACCUCGCGCGAUUGGAGCGGCAGAUAUCAGAUUAGGUAGUUGGUGAGGUAAAGGCUCACCACGCCGACGAUCUGUAGCUGGUCUGAGAGGACGACCAGCCACACUGGGACUGAGACACGGCCCAGACUCCUACGGGAGGCAGCAGUGGGGAAUUUUGGACAAUGGGCGCAAGCCUGAUCCAGCAAUGCCGCGUGCAGGAUGAAGGCCUUCGGGUUGUAAACUGCUUUUGUACGGAACGAAACGGUGAGCUCUAAUACAGUUUGCUAAUGACGGUACCGUAAGAAUAAGCACCGGCUAACUACGUGCCAGCAGCCGCCGUAA
rnacentral:rRNA from 1 species